GGGCUUAUAGUGUAGUUGGUUAUCGCGCCCGCUUCGCAUUCGAUUACUUAAUCAACGAUGCGGGAGGUGCUGGGUUCAAUUCCCAGUGAGUCCA